UUUUUUACUCGAAACCACGAGCAGAGAGUGAAACCCAAUGGAGUAUUUGAUUAUCAAGAUCCAAGUCUCUCAAUCCGUACCCAAAAAUCAUCUCUACAUCUUCGACGGGAGAAGAACAGAGAACAAAGAAACGAAAGAGAAAAAAGAAGAAGAAAGAGUUGCUGUUAUAAAUUGAAGUUAGGGUUUCAUCUGAUUACAGAGAAUUAAAAGGGGUUGUUGUUGAUUUAUCGAUGGGAGGUUAUUCUGAUGAAGAAUCACAACACCAGGACAGGAUGAGAAAGGUAUGCUUAUAGAAUCUAUUAGAGCUGCAGGGUGGAGCUGUGUUGGUUUGGAGAUUUCUGCAGAAGAGAAAGAUUAGCCAGGCAGCUUCUGCGCAGUGGGGAGUAAAUCGGCAAUGUUCAUAUGCAUUAUGCUAGGAUAAUUGCAUUGCUGAACGUUGUAUAUCAGUGCAAAACAGAGGAAAGAUGGCAAGAAAAGUUAGUUUCAGGCAA